UUAGGUAAGUGAAGAGCUUUUGAGUGUUAGAUUCAUAUCUUGCAGAACUAGACCUGCACGACUUCAUGAACAAGUUGAAAAUGCUCUUCUGAGUGGAGAAAGUGACUGAUUUUGCUCAUUUGCCUUGUUUGCAAGACUGGUAUUUCAGGGUGGACAUUAUGAUAUAAUGUAGCCUGUACCUCUGGUAAGGUAAAAAGCUGUUCUUAGAGACUAAUUACUAUAUCUCAGUCUCAGAACUCGUCAGUGGUGCUGGCUGUGCUACAAGAGAAACCUUAAUAUCAGCUGUAGUCUCCACAAUGCAACAAAAUGAAUUAUAGGAUAUAUGCUCCUAGCUAAAGGUAUGGUUUGAAUGUGAUAUGCCAAGAUCCUUUAAAGAUAUUUCUGUCCUCUUGAAUUCACCAUGAACUUACACUAUUAAGGAACCUCACAAAUGGCACUCCUCAUUAACUCUACAAUGUUUAAAUUGUCUAUUUAACAAUUUUGUUCUCAGAACCUGAAACUGAUACAUCGCUGUUAAGAGAUUAUUUUCUACUUACACUAAUUGAGAUGCUGCAAAAGACUCAGGUAGGAUUGUGAAGGGAAGACUCUAAAGGCAGCACAGCAGCUUGAAAGAAGGUGGGUUUUUUUUUUCUUUUAAUCCUAUUUUGAUAUUAAAAUUGGGCUGUGAAAAUUUGUUCUAAAUUCUAGAGGGUCAGAAUUUAAAGUGAGAAAGUAAAUCAAUGUGGACAUAGUGGGAUGUUUUACUUCCAAAGAAGUAAAAUCUUAUAAAAACCAAAAUGGAAGGCAUAAAAUUACUUAUCAGUACUUUAGAUAAGUAAUUACCUAUAAAUCCAUCUAAUUUGAAUUAACAAGAAUAUGGAGAUCUGCUUUAUCAAGAUCUACAUCCAUAAUAGAAAUUUAUUUUAAACCUACAUUCUAACAAAUAGGUGUUGUAGAAAAACUCUUGAAGGUAUUUUAACUAACAUUUUUCCCAUUUUCUGAUCUUCUGGUUGUUCAUCAUUGGUGAGACAGUUUUGAAUUCAAUUGCUGAAGUUGAUAAGUAUUUGAGACAAAAGCAAUUAUCAGUUUUCCUUCAAUGCAAAUAAUCUUUCUUUUUCCUUUUCAGGUUUUGGCUUUGUGAGCUUGAAAAUCUGCAGUUUUGAUUCACAGCAAAGAAAAUUGAAGUUGGAAGUUUGCACAUGAACCAUAACAGUGCUGGUGAUUUAAAGGACAUCUGUCUUGGGACAAUACACCUUGAUGACUGACUCCAAAUGACUGUCCCCAUCAGAAAAUUUUCAGAGCAGACCAUGGAAAAUAGAUGAAAUGCUGAAGCUGCAGAAGGAGUCUCACAGGAUACAUGCCCAGGUGUGACUGAAGAGGAGAGCAGCACCCUGCCACCAGGACCUGGGCAGAGUUAGCCCUCUGGAUUAUGGUAAUGUUAACAAGCAGGACUUUGAAAGAUUAUCAGGUCCAUGGAAGGAAAAGAGAAUAAACUUGAAAUGUGGAGCAACAACAAAUGUGAAAUAGAAGAUAACCCUUGAUGAGAGCUCAGAGG